GAUAUCUUGUGAGCAAAGCUGCACCAGGAAACGCAGAGACACUCCUGUCAAGACCAUCUCUAGUGAGCAGACUGUGGUUUCUAGUGGAGAAGUUACUCUGGUCAUGUAAAUCUAGUGGUUUCAAUAAACUUUGGGAUGCACAAAGA